GACGAACGCUGGCGGCGUGCUUAACACAUGCAAGUCGAACGGAAAGGCCCUGCUUUUGUGGGGUGCUCGAGUGGCGAACGGGUGAGUAACACGUGAGUAACCUGCCCUUGACUUUGGGAUAACUUCAGGAAACUGGGGCUAAUACCGGAUAGGAGCUCCUGCUGCAUGGUGGGGGUUGGAAAGUUUCGGCGGUUGGGGAUGGACUCGCGGCUUAUCAGCUUGUUGGUGGGGUAGUGGCUUACCAAGGCUUUGACGGGUAGCCGGCCUGAGAGGGUGACCGGCAUCAUGGGGCUGUAGUGCCCCCCCAGCCUCCUCCGGGAGGAGGCAGGGGGAAAUUUUGACCACGGGCCGGGAGCCUGAUGCCGCACCGCCGGGGGGGGGGUGGCGGCUUUGGGGUUUUAACCCGCUUCCCCCGGUGACGAAGGGUGAGGGAGGGGAUGGUGUAAAGAAGCCCCGGCUAACCACGUG
rnacentral:rRNA from 1 species